rnacentral:rRNA from 1 species
GAUGAACGCUGGCGGCGUGCCUAACACAUGCAAGUCGAACGAAGAUCUAGCUUGCUAGAUCUUAGUGGCGAACGGGUGAGUAAUACAUAAAUAAUCUGCCCAUAUGACUGGGAUAACUAUUGGAAACGAUAGCUAAUACCGGAUAGGUUGAUCGGAGGCAUCUCUGAUGAAUUAAAGUAGGAUUUCUACACAAAUGGAUGAGUUUAUGGCGCAUUAGUUAGUUGGUGGGGUAACGGCCUACCAAGACGAUGAUGCGUAGCCGACCUGAGAGGGUGACCGGCCACACUGGGACUGAGACACGGCCCAGACGCCUACGGGAGGCAGCAGUAGGGAAUUUUCGGCAAUGGGCGCAAGCCUGACCGAGCAACGCCGCGUGAGUGAUUAAGGCCUUCGGGUUGUAAAGCUCUGUUGUAAGGGAAGAACAUUCAGGAUAGGAAAUGAUCUUGAACUGACGGUACCUUACCAGAAAGCCACGGCUAACUACGUGCCAGCCGCCGCGGUAA